GAUUUUGAUGAACAUGAGAGACAAAGGCAGAUUGAUGAGGUUGUUGAGCGAAGGACCCGCGCAUAGAGUCAGGGUGGUCAGGUUGUACCACCGUAUCCGACAAAUGAUCUAGGUUCACACUCGCCAAUAGCUGAUGUUGAGGCUACAAAUGUAGGGGCUUUGGGUUCAACUUCAUCUACAGAUGCAUCUAACUUCAUGCAACAAUAUUCCAUUAGGAUUUCAUGAGACGAGAGCAUUUUUUGGCCUCGAGAAGCUGCGAGUAAAUUUCACAAAGUUUUCCGCUCAAAUAUUCAUCCGACUGGGACUACAUGGAAGAAGGUCCCAAGAGAUACAAAAGAGUGGUAUUGGCGUGAGUUAAAGAAGUAUGUCACUGGGGACCCUUCAGUUGAAAGAAAAGUAAGGCAUUACUAUGAGUUGAAGGCAUUGGGUAUCUAUCCUCAAUGGAUAUAUCAUAUUCGAGUGAACCAGGGGAGGAAAAUGGAGGAGCAAAUUGAUAAGACGGUCUUGGCUGAGUGGCGUAUGUUAUGAGGUUCUGAUAAAGCAAAGGGAAACUUUGAAAUUGCCAAAAAGAAUAGAAGUCGAGGUAAUGCGUCUGCACCCAUUGAGUCAACACAUACUGGGGGGUCUAGAUCUUUUGUGGAGACAUUAGAAAAUUUGGUAUGUAAUAAUUUACUUAUUUAUUUUGAUUAACAUUCAUCCAACUUAAUGAUUAAUAUAUUAUUUGUUCUUCUAAAAAAGGGUUCAAUAAGGUUGUAACAUAUAUAUGGAUCCUCAUCAAGGGACACAAUCGAAAGAAUUACAUAAACU